GGGCUCGGGGAGCAGCGGAGCCGGCUACGGCAGCCCCGGGGUCUCCUGCUUCCAGGCAGCGUGCACCGCUCUCAGCCUGAGCGCGUCACUGCAGCUGCAGAGCUCUGCUACAUGUCUCCUCUGCGCCCUUAGUAUUGGUCGUUGGUACCAUCUAUCCCCGAUGCCACGUGUCUACUUAACAAAGGAUUGGGUGGCGAAACAGAAGAGUCCUCCCAUGCCGAAAUAGUGAGGCCAUAAGCUCCAGUAUGGCUAUCUUGGUUGAUCCCAUUGUGUCAGUGUCCAAGGAACUGGAUACCAGUAGCUCCUUGGCUGAGAUAAAGGAGGGAACUGCCACAGUGCCACCGGAACCCUCUGGUAGUCAUGUCUCCAGAACGGAAGCGGCAGACCAUGUCAAACAGCCGAAUCUUCAGACUCAGAAAAACUGGAAUCUGCAUGAACUGUGGUGCUUAUGGAGCCGUCAGAAGGGGAUGCAUUAAAGGGCUGUGGCCAACAGGUAGUAGAUCUAAUGCGGGAGAGGGGGCCCUCCAAGCAGGUGGGUGCACCGGAACACACUGAGACCUCACUCUUUCCAGGGCAAACAGUUUUGUGAGGUCCGGGAGCACUGCUGAGUCUUCCCAGAGUUAAUGAUACCUGGUCUCUGGCUGGGACCAGGACUGGUAAAGGGAUGUGUCUCUGGACCAACAAUUCACAGGAUGCCAGUGGAGCUGAAGGAAGAGGGGGGUACAUGGUUCCAGAACCAGCACUCGUAGAUCCAGUGAACAGAUAAGCAGCCUCUUACUGCUCGUGAGCCUUGGAAUGCAUUGCUCCUCUGUGGCUAGAACUCAUGGAUGAUGCAGCAUUCUUCUUGGAUUUGGAGGAAGACUUACUGUGGGGUCCAUAGCUCUGGUACCAACGGAGCUGGACAGAGGCUCCAUCAUAGGGGGAGUGUUCUUAGAUUGUUCAGGCUGAUGUACAGGGUGGGUGUUCCCCUGCCAGGAUCUGAUUGUGGUCCCAUGGUAACCUCCAUAAGGUGCAUUUUGAGGCGAAGAGCUCAGCCUUCCCAUGUACGAGCAGGGAAGAAGAGGCAGAUACUGCACCUGGAUGCAGUGUGGGCUUCCCCUAAACAGUACAGUGUUGGAGCUUGUUGCUGAUGGGAAACAUGCAAGGGCAGGAAGCAGAGACUUUGAAUCCCUAUGUCUUUGGCAUAAUCCAGUACCCAGAUCUUGGUGCUGGAAGGGGGGUGGGUGGGAGGGAAUUGUUUGGCCCGAAAACUGCCAGAUAGGAUAAGAUAGGAGGUUUUUUCCCCAACAAACUGUGUGCUUAAAAGCAGUUUAAUUGAGCAGAAUAAACAGCAUUAGCAGGACAGACACGAUAGUCUGAAACUUAGCAUCCAGUCUCCAUCUCACAAUUCAGAAACAAUAUUGCUUAUCUAAAAGGGGAACUAUUUAACAGCCAUUCUUCCCUUUAUCUUCCAGAAUGACUGAGAUGUAUCAACACAAGCAUUCCACAUUGCACAGUAUGAAACAAAGUGAUUGCAGCCAGGAGAUGCAACUGGGGAUGGUUAGCUUAACUGCAUUGUUUUAUAAAGUGUUUUCAUCAAAUAUAUCAUCAAUAGAGAACAUCUGAUCAUUAUAGUUACACUGGGUAUUACUGCAGAGACAAUACUUUCCAUCAAACGAUUCACCUUGAGCAGAAUAUAGAAAUAAGUGCACAAACAGCAGCAAUAUUUUGAUUCAAAAUACUGUUCAGUUUCUUUUGAUUUGUUGUAAGAAUAUUUUCACUAUUAGAUGUUGAAUUUAGGUUCACAAAACUCUGCAGGCCUAAACGUUAUAGGACUAGCACUGCAUGGAUGUUUGGUUGUUUAGUAUACCAAGAGUCUUUGAUUUUAGACUAUGGGUUAGUCUAUGCAGUGAGGGACAACCCCUGGUGGUGAAUCAGACUCUGGGUCUACAGACUCAGGCUCACACAACAGUGUUAAAAAUAGCUGUGUAAAUGUUCAGGCUCAGACUCUGAAGCCUAGCGGUCUGCUUCUAGCUGUGUAGACGUACCUUAUGUUGUCCUAGAACCAAAGAAAUUCAGAAUUAAGACUGAAACGGUCCAUACCUUACCAUUUCCCCUCCUUAUUAUAGUUAAGUGUGGAAUAUGAGAUUGUUCCCUGUUUGGUAAAACAUGUACUUUUUAAGCAAAAUGGAUUCUAUAAAGGGUAUACUUUAAAUGCAGGAUUUCCUAGGUUGUGUGGGCUAAGUUAUGCUCUUAGCUACUUUUCUUCAAUUUCUUUUUCUUGGUACUGUUAAUUUUCUUUGAAAGAUGCUAUGGGGGCUUGGAUUUUGUACCAAAAGGGUGACAGCUGAAAUUGUGGCAGAGUGUCUGACUGCUUCACACAGAUAAGAUGUUUGAUUAAUGACAAUGAAAUACCUUGAAAAAACUUCAGUUGAAACAUAAUUCUAAGUUGCAACUGGAAGCCAUUAAGUGAAGAAGUCAUCCAGUUGGCAUUUUCCAAUAUAAAAUUUAGCUUGACUUCUGGCAAAAAUUUUCAUGGAAGUAGGAAUUUGUAUUCCUAGGAGUGGAAAAAAAGCCAGUAGUAAUUUGUUUGACAGGGACAUUGGUGCUAGCACUUCAUCUCCUGUACAUGUUAAAAGGGCUCUGUAUUCUCUUCUACUUCACUUAAUCGAAGUGUAAAGGGGCACACAGAUUGGCCACCUAAUGCAUGAUAUUCCCUGCUACUGCAGGUAGGGGAAAUAUUUGUUUAUGAACAACAUCCAGUCUCCUUAGGGGACAAUUACAAGGCAACUAAAAGUGUCAUCUCUUUUUUUAAAAUGAAGGCACGGACUUGCACAUUCCAACUGACAUUUUAAAAGGUAACCUGAAUUUGUUUUUGCUCCUCUCUUUUAUAAAGAAGGGGUCCCCCCACCCCACUUGUUUUGCCAUCUUAGAAAUAGCAACAUGCCAACUCUGGUUUUGAUGGAGGACUUGCUGGGGUGGCCUCUAUUAAGUCUGUCACACUGAACUUUCUUCAAAUGCUAAGUAGGCAAAAUCCUAAAAUUUUAAAACUAUUAAAAAUUCUUUCCCCCUAAUUCACUAAUCUUCAUAGACCUCUAACAACAGAUUUUGCCUAAAUUUUCCCUCCAUUGCAGCUGUAAUGGUGAGAGCUCUAGUGUAGGAGAGGUACUGGUAGCCACCGGUAUUUAUAUCACUGUGUCAUCUAGACCCACAGCAUUAGAAAACAUGGUGGCAGACACCAGCAUAGACUGGAGGGAAAUUUUAGGGGAAAAAGUCUACCAUAGACACAGCCAAAUGGUCUGCAACUGUUGUUAAUAUUAAAAAAAGGAAGUACGAUUAAAACCUUUUAAAAAAACACUUCCAGAGCUUCCACAUCCCCCUUUGCAGGUCACCUUUACGUUAUUAGAUCACAGGCGACAAAUCAGCUGGACAUUUCUUUAAUGUUCCAUUCCUUCAGCUGCAGUUGCUGCUGUUAUGGAUUUUGUAAAACACAUCCCUGUUACACAGUAUGUCACAAGACUAAAGAAUAACUACUUUAUAAUUUGGAUUCCAGUAUUAACAAGUUUUUACCUUUUGGCCUUUCAAGAAAGCUACUAUACCCGUGCAUUCAAGCAUUUUAUGUCUUUUCAUUUCUUGUGUACAUGGUAUUUUCUACAAAAUGCUACAUACACAGGAAAAUACUAUCAAUCAGGUCAGGUGCAGUUUCUGCUGGCAUUUGAUGAUCGCAGUUCUUAGGGCAUGUCCAGACUACCCACCAGAUUGGCGGGUAGCGAUCGAUCUAUCACAUCUCGUCUAGACGCGAAAAAUCGAUCCCCAAACACGCUCCCGUCAACUCCGGAACUCCACCAGUGCGAGCGGCGGUAGCGGAGUCGACGGGGGAGCUGCGGCCGUCGAUCCCGCGCCGUGAGGACGGGAGUGCAGAUGAUGUUAUUCCCAGAGGCUGAAGAAAAUUAGCUCAACACUUACCCUAGGGAAGAUGGUGAUGAUAGGAGGAAGAACACACUUCGUGUCAGGAACUGAAUGCUCUCUGGUCACUAACAGCACUCUUGAUGGACAUUCUAGUGCAAGCUCUUUAUCCUGCUGUAUCCACCACUAUUCUGGACCAUUCAACAGAGGCUAGAAAUACCUUGUUUCACUUGCGACUAGCCAGCAGACCAUGCUCUUUUCCUGGAGAGGCUUGCCACCUCUAGGACUACUGCACCACAUUCUCAGUGGAAAUGAAUGCAACAGCCACACGGUAACUGAAGCCAGUUCAUCAUUCAGCAUCCUGCCUCAAAAUUGGGAUAGAUAAGACCAGUGCUCCACACUUUUUAGUGGCACCUGAUCCAAUUCCAGAUGUACUUAAAGAUGUUGGACCCUGAUCUUUAAAGCUCUGAAUGAAUUAGGGACAAGUAUCUCUGAUUGCCUCUCCCUCAAGUACCUGCAGUUAACACGAACAUUGCAGCUAGUUGUCUGUAAGCACUGAAUUCUUGGUAGAAGGCCCCAAGCUGUAGAAUUCCCCCCUCCUAAAUUAUCAGGAUGAACCACUGUCUCUGUACUUUAGCUUCUUCUUGUUUUCAAAGGGUCUCUUCCCUCCCAAAUUGAGAUACAAAGUGGCUUGGCAUUGUUCUAUCUAACCAUAGUUCUGCUACUCAGAAUAGCAACUAAAACAAGCACAGGGUAUGAAAUCUAGCUCUUAGUUGGUGUUAUGCUUAUGCCACCUAGAAACUAUGGUAACAGAUGCUUUAUAAAGCCAAGAAAAAAAUAGCCUGACAGUACAUUUUAGACUCCAGUGCAUGAAGGUAGACAAAAAACAAAAAACUUCAGGACAAAAAUAACAAAUCAUGUCUUUAUAGUUAGAGCUUAAUUUUAUUUAUAUUUUAAGCUUGUUAUUUUAGGAGUGGGGAAGACAUCUGAGCAGACCUAACUUUCCCUUUUCUUACUCCCAAAACAGUGGAAAUAUUGAACUUGGGGCCCAAAACUUCUAAUGCAAAAAAAUUUGUUUCAGGGGCCAAUCUUGCAAAAAGCAGAGUACCCUCUGUGUUUCAUAGAUUUCAGUGAUAUUGGCAGGGUCAGGCUUUGGGUGAAAUGGGUUUUCCAUGCUUUUAGAUUAGAGCAGCCUGCAGGAAAACUGCCAUAGCAAUGUUAUUUUAGCCUCACUAUGUGACCAGUCUUCUAGAUGCCAGUGUAUGAAUGAAAUGGAAAUACUUUUUGGGAAGUAGCCCGGUACUUGUUCAAAGGUAGAAACCCAAGCUAGCUGCUGGCCAGAUGUAUGUAGUCCAGGGAUUCUCAAACUAUGGGUUGGGACCCCAAAGUGGGUCAUGACCCCCUUUUAAUUGGGGUGCCAGGGGUGGUGGGGCUUAGGUGGGCUCAGGCUUCAGUCACCCCCCUCCUGGGGUCGUGUAGUAAUUUUUGUUGUCAGGAGGGGGGUCGCGGUGCAAUGAAGUUUGAGAACCCCGAUGUAGUUCAUCACAGUGGAAACAUCAUUCUUUAUAGUCAAAGACAUAGCAGAAGGGAUGCAAGAUGUAGAAAAGAAAUAUAACAACCCAGAGUUGGAGGCCGCCACGUCUCACAAGUAUUUUUCCUUUCAUUUAUGUGAACAGUGGUUUUUUUGUUUUGUUUUAAAGAAACUCUUUGUCCACAGGCUUUAGUACUAAAGUGGUUUAAAGCGGAAGGAUGGAUGUGUGGCUAAGGUACUAGCCUAGCACUUAAGAGAACUGGGUUCUAUUCCUAGCUCAGCCGGAGACUUCCCAUGGUAAUGUGGGCAAGUCACUUACCCUCUGUAGUCUAGUUUCCAUUUGUAAAAGGGACAUAAUAUUUCCCUUUCUGCCUUGUCCAUUUAGAUUUUAAACUCUUAAAGGCAGAGACUCUCUCUUAUCUCUUACCAUGUGUUUAAGCGAGGCACUGUACAAUGACCAAUCUCAGCUGGGCCCCCUAGCAAUACCAUAAUACAAAUAAAUACCAGAUUUAUUCUUAAA